UUACCUUCUAAAAAAAAAACUUAACUCUUUAAAAAUUUUCUCUCAAAUCCCCCCUUUUGGUCAACCCUCGCUUUCUCAUCUGUCCGCCGUGCUACCACUGUGGCCAGUGGCCGCCGUCGCACAUAAUGGGUUUUUUUAAAACCCUCGUUUCUUCAUAUUUUGAGGAGGCCAAAUCCUCCUAGUCUGAAAAAUCAAAAAAAAAAAGAAAGAAACAAAGGACCCCCACCCUUUAUUGGUUCAAUUUCGGCGCCGGAUAAGGACUUCCGACGACGAAAUCGCGGGAUGACUUAGGCGAUGUCAGUGGCGUCUGACGCGCGCACAUAGGGUGGAGCAGUGUUUGAUGUCAGAGGCGACUAGGGUUCUUUUGCUUGUUGAAAAUGUUGAUAGCUAGUGGGCUAGGGUUUAAGUUAUUUGAUUGGGCCUUAAUAAUUUGGACCAGUGUGGGUUUUAAUUGUAAUUUGGACUUUUUUUAAAAAAAAUUUGGGACUUUUUAUUUAUUUAUGUGUUUGAGUUUCCUGACGGGCUGGACAAAUUUGGGCCCGUACACAAUCAAUGCAAAUACCUUAUUUCUGAAAA